rnacentral:rRNA from 1 species
GCUAGCGUUGCUCGGAAUCACUGGGCGUAAAGCGCACGUAGGCGGAUUGCUAAGUCAGGGGUGAAAUCCUGGAGCUCAACUCCAGAACUGCCUUUGAUACUGGCAACCUUGAGUCCGGGAGAGGUGAGUGGAACUGCGAGUGUAGAGGUGAAAUUCGUAGAUAUUCGCAAGAACACCAGUGGCGAAGGCGGCUCACUGGCCCGGUACUGACGCUGAGGUGCGAAAGCGUGGGGAGCAAACAGG